GGAAUAUUGCACAAUGGGCGAAAGCCUGAUGCAGCAACGCCGCGUGAGGGAUGAAGGCCUUCGGGUUGUAAACCUCUUUUAGCAGGGAAGAAGCGAAAGUGACGGUACCUGCAGAAAAAGCACCGGCUAACUACGUGCCAGCAGCCGCGGUAAUACGUAGGGUGCAAGCGUUGUCCGGAAUUAUUGGGCGUAAAGAGCUCGUAGGCGGUUUGUCGCGUCUGCUGUGAAAACCUGAGGCUCAACCUCAGACCUGCAGUGGGUACGGGCAAGCUAGAGUGCGGUAGGGGAGAUGGGAAUUCCUGGUGUAGCGGUGGAAUGUGCAGAUAUCAGGAGGAACACCGAUGGCGAAGGCACAUCUCUGGGCCGUAACUGACGCUGAGGAGCGAAAGCGUGGGGAGCGAACAGGAUUAGAUACCCUGGUAGUCCACGCCGUAAACGGUGGGUGCUAGUUGUGGGUCACAUUCCACGUGAUCCGUGACGAAGUUAACACAUUAAGCACCCCGCCUGGGGAGUACGGUCGCAAGACUAAAACUCAAAGGAAUUGACGG
rnacentral:rRNA from 1 species